rnacentral:lncRNA from 1 species
GGGAUUACAGGCUCACACCACCACACCUGGCUAAUUUUUUGUAUUGUUAGUAGAGACAGGGUUUCACCAUGUUGACCAGCUGGUCUCAAACUCCUGAACUCAAGUGAUCUGCCCUCCUCGGCCUCCCAAAGUGCCAGAAUUACAGGCAUGAGCCACCACAUCAUUUUUUAAAAAGGUUAUGAUAUCACAGUAGAUACGGCAUCUUUCUCCCUUUACUCAUUCUGUGUUCCUGUUGCCCUCAGCCUGUACUUCAUUUGGGCAGAGUUCCUUACCUGGUUGGGGCCCAAAUCUCCACUACUGAAGAGCUGUCCCUAUGGGUCCUGUCUGUAUCGGGUUGUUGUAGUCUUUAACUUUUAUUGAACAUGGUUCCACAUUUUACAUUUUGAGUAAUGAGAAUUUGAUAGUGCUUACUAUUUGGAGCAAUGUUUCUUGUAUUAACUCAUUCAUCCUUACACAACCCAAUAAGGCAAAUACUAUUAUUCUAACUUUACAAAUCAGGAAACAGGCUCAAAGAGGUUAAGUACCUUGCCUAAAGUCACACAGCUAGUUAAGUGGUAGAACCAGGAUUCAAGCCCAUGUUUGAAUGGUCUGAAUCCGGUCUCAGUGCUCUUAACCACUGCUCAGUCAUCAUGGGCAGGUGUUUCUCUAUACCAUACCACAGCUAAGCACACAAUAGGUGCCCAGUAAAUGGUAGCUGUUAUUGUUGAUAUUACUGCCAUUUGAUAACUGUCUCUUGGAGUUAUGAAUCUUAUACUCACUUAUAAAAAUAACCAGUUGACUAAACAAUGCCUGGCAAAUGACAUCGUCCUGAUUUGUGGCUAGAAUUCCUUAAAACAUUGUUUCAGAAUUUACAACUAUCUCAUGAAAAGUCUGAUUCCUAAAAGAGAGCUUGUCUCCAGGUUGCUUGCCCUGGCUUCUAAUCCUAACAUUUCCCUUUAUUAGCCAGGUGAUCCUGGGAAAAGCUUUGGAUUUGGUGACCAAAGGUGGCUAGUCAUACCCCCCAGGUCAGCUCUGUCACAGAUUAGCCAGGUGAUGUUGGGCUUUAUGGUUGAGCCAGGUGAUGUUUGGAGCUGAUGGUUGAGUUUCCUCACUGUGCUCCAAAAUCAUCAGUCCCUGGGAGACUGGAGAAAAAGUGGUUUGGCAAAACCAUAAAUGCAAGAAAGCCCAGCACUGAUGAGCUGCCUCUGCCCACAAGUGCAAUAAUAUCAGAGCCCAAGUGACCACUAAAUGAGAGUCAAAAUAGCCAUGUGCUCAGUGAGAUUCUUUUAUACUCUGGCACAUAAGCAGGACUUUAGAAAGGAGAAGCUCUUGUCCAGCACCCUCGGGGUUGCUGAGGGUCUCCAUGGCCAGAGGCCUGGUCUGCAGCUCCAGCUGAAUCAUGGAUCCUUACUCCUUUGAGGCUCUCCAUUGCAGUGAGUCUUCAAGCUCCGAGUCCUACCUGAGCCCUGUCCCUCCAAAACACCCUCAGUGAGCUAGAGGACACACAGGACUGAAUCUCAUCAGAUGCUGCAUUAAACUAAGGGAAGAUGCUCAUUGACUCAGGCACUCUGUCCCACCAAAAAAUCACUGAGCUUGAACCCACAGAAAAGUCCAUGCCCCAAACUCCAACCGUGUGGGGAGGAAUAAAGGAGUAAACUAAAGUUUCACAGGCACAGGCCAUUAUCUGUGAAAGUACUUUGAACUAGUGGACUGUAUAAAAAUGGAGAAAACCUAAGGUUUAUGGAAGGCCUAUGAUUUAUAGAAGGUGUAAUAUGUAAACAGCCUCACUUAAUCCUUAUCCUACUCCUACAACGUAGAUACGAUCCCACUUUUUUUUUCUUUUUUUUUUUUUUUGAGACAGGGUCUCAUUCUGUCACCCAGGCCGGAGUGCAGUGGCACAAUCUCAGCUUACUGCAGCCCUGACUUCCUGGGCUCAGGCCAUCCUACCACCUUAGCCUCCCAAGUAACUGAGACUAUGGGCACGCACCACCACCCCUGGCUAAUUUUUUGUGUUUUUA